GAAAUGAAAGUCAAAAGGAGAAAGCAUACGAAUUUUACAUUGAAUAGAAAAAGACAUCCAUAUUAUUUUAUUGACCAGAUCAUUAAAUAAAGAAAAACGAAUUACAGGAGGCAGUUCAUAUGUGCCACGCUUGUGCCACGAAAUGACGAAAUCCCACCUGUUGUUAUGAUGUGGAAAGUGGAAAGUAAACGGUAACCUAAAAAGCUAAAAUAAAAAAUAACAUAUCUGCUGGACACGUAUUAAUAGUACAUUAAUCAAUUUUUAGCUUAUUUUGUAUUUCUUUACAGUGCAGUAUCCAGUAUCUAACAACAUAUUUCUAUAUCUAAAAUGCCUAAGCAAUUGAAAGGUGGAAAGGCAAAAGUCACAUCAAAAGAAAAACAAAAAUUAAAAAAGGAAUAUCAAGAAGCGCAAAAGAAGAUUUACACAAUUGCACUCCCUACACUAGCCGUUAUAUUUCUGUUUAUAGUUGUUUAUGUAUAUUUAAAAAGUAGGCCUAGAAGUGAUUAUAUCGACUGAAGCGACAAGUAUACGAUUUUAAGAGGUAAAAUUAAAACACAAAAAAUAUGAAUUCCUAAAUUUUAUUAUUUUGUACAAAAUAAAUAAAUAGUUUUUUAAAAACC